GUAGGCAGCCGUAUCACCCUGUAGCCCAAGACUGGUUGCCCACUGAAGCUAAGCAGGGCUGAGCCUGGUCAGUACCUGGAUGGGAGACCUCCUGGGAAAACUAGGUUGCUGCUGGAA
rnacentral:rRNA from 1 species